rnacentral:lncRNA from 1 species
ACAAAACCAAAGACACAUCACAAAUCUUUACCAUUGAACAGGUAUACCAAGGUCAAAAAGUCAAUUCCGUGUGGUACAAGGAAAGAUGUUUCUAUUACCUGGAUUUACGUUCGUCCAACACGAGACCGGCUUUAAUAAUGUUCGAGAGGUGCACAACUUCAGCAUGAGUGAGGUAUUCUUCACUCACCACACCGCACUUCAUCGCAUUCCUCACUUUCCUCUCUGACAUAUUCAGCAUCUGCGCGAUUUUCUGCAAAAACGUCGCAAGCAAAGGAAUGAUACAAAAACUAACUAUGAACAAAUUAUCAUCGAUAUGCUCGAGUAAGAAAGAAAGAAAGGAUUACAUCAAUGGUUGGAUCGAUUCCUUCCUGUUCUAAUCUGAUCCUUGCAUUCCGUAUUAGGCUUAACCUUCCAUGCAGAUGAUUAGGAAGCGGGAAAGCACUUGUGUUCUCAAGAAAAGCUUUCGAGACACCCUGCAUCCAACGUCGAGAAACACUAAGCAUACGACAAGAGUGACCAUCAAAAGCACAGAACUUUUUCGUUGCUCACCUGGCGAAUCCACCAAUAGACAUAGGUCGACAUCUUAAAGCCCUUCGACGAAUCGUAUUUCUCUAUUCCACGCAGCAACCCGAUCAGCCCUCCCUGUAUAAGAACGUUGCACAGUGUUGGAAAUAGAAUAUUGGGGUUGCUUGCAGUACUAGUAAAUGGAUUGGACUUUCACCUGAACAAGGUCUCCCAUUUUAGCACCCAUUCUGUUAUACUUUUGAGCAAUGGACAUAACAAGGCGAACGUUGCUCAUCGCCAGCUUCUCCCUAGCCAAAGAGAAAGCAAACUGUCUCGAGUGCAGUUCGGAUCGAGAUAGCUUCAUGGAAUCCGCCAGCUGUUCAUCAGUGGGAUCGCAUCCCAAUCUUUCUCUCAGCCUGGUAUUAAACAAAACCAAAGACACAUCACAAAUCUUUACCAUUGAACAGGUAUACCAAGGUCAAAAAGUCAAUUCCGUGUGGUACAAGGAAAGAUGUUUCUAUUACCUGGAUUUACGUUCGUCCAACACGAGACCGGCUUUAAUAAUGUUCGAGAGGUGCACAACUUCAGCAUGAGUGAGGUAUUCUUCACUCACCACACCGCCAUUCAUGUAACCGCGGCCCACCCGCUUAUGCAGCAAAUUCGGGGUUAACCCUGUAUGAGUCUCCAACGUACCAUUAUUCGAUCCCCCUAUCGAUUUUCCCUCGUCGACAUUGCCUUUCCUCUUCCUGUUAACUCUCCGUUCCCGUGCAGAGAUCCCGGAACUCGUAACUAUGACCUCCUUCUUCUUCUUCACUCCCCUCUUAGGCGAAUCUGCAUUGUCAAAUGUGAUGUUCCAUUGCUUCUCCAGUAGAGACUUCUGCAACAAGAGUAGCGCUUCCAUGUCAAGAUCAAAACUUUCUUCUCCUUCUCCUCCUUCGCCUUCUUUUUCGUUCCCUACUUCUUCGAAAUCAUUUAAUGCCUCGAACCAUGUUGAAGAAAGAGAAGCAGUGUCCACCACUACAUGGUCUUUCAGGGCCUUCACCGAAUGCGUGCUUGGCUUCGAGGGAUGGUAUCCAUGACCAUAAUUCGACGACGAUGAUGAUGAUGAACUUCUCGCAACCACAAGACUUCUCGAGUGAGCUAAUGACUGUCCAUGAUCACUUCCAGGAGGAUCAGAGCAAUGGAAGAAGGAAGAAUUCAAGAGUCUCUUGCCUGGAGUGAGUCCAAUUACUGCAGCUGUGGACAUCAUAUGGCUUUCUUUUCCUUCCUAGCUACCCUCAAUGAAGCAUUACAAGCUUCUGUUAUAGAUUAUAAGGUGUUCCAAACCAGAUUGAUAUAACUUCUUUUUCUCC